CGUGCUAUAAUGCAGUCGACGAACUCUGGUAUUGAUUGGUGCUUGCAUCAUGAUUUACAUUUGAGUGAGUGGCGAACUGGUGAGUAACACGUGGGAAACCUGCCCAGAAGCGGGGGAUAACACCUGGAAACAGAUGCUAAUACCGCAUAACAACUUGGACCGCAUGGUCCGAGUUUGAAAGAUGGCUUCGGCUAUCACUUUUGGAUGGUCCCGCGGCGUAUUAGCUAGAUGGUGGGGUAACGGCUCACCAUGGCAAUGAUACGUAGCCGACCUGAGAGGGUAAUCGGCCACAUUGGGACUGAGACACGGCCCAAACUCCUACGGGAGGCAGCAGUAGGGAAUCUUCCACAAUGGACGAAAGUCUGAUGGAGCAACGCCGCGUGAGUGAAGAAGGGUUUCGGCUCGUAAAACUCUGUUGUUAAAGAAGAACAUAUCUGAGAGUAACUGUUCAGGUAUUGACGGUAUUUAACCAGAAAGCCACGGCUAACUACGUGCCAGCAGCCGCGGUAAUACGUAGGUGGCAAGCGUUGUCCGGAUUUAUUGGGCGUAAAGCGAGCGCAGGCGGUUUUUUAAGUCUGAUGUGAAAGCCUUCGGCUCAACCGAAGAAGUGCAUCGGAAACUGGGAAACUUGAGUGCAGAAGAGGACAGUGGAACUCCAUGUGUAGCGGUGAAAUGCGUAGAUAUAUGGAAGAACACCAGUGGCGAAGGCGGCUGUCUGGUCUGUAACUGACGCUGAGGCUCGAAAGUAUGGGUAGCAAACAGGAUUAGAUACCCUGGUAGUCCAUACCGUAAACGAUGAAUGCUAAGUGUUGGAGGGUUUCCGCCCUUCAGUGCUGCAGCUAACGCAUUAAGCAUUCCGCCUGGGGAGUACGGCCGCAAGGCUGAAACUCAAAGGAAUUGACGGGGGCCCGCACAAGCGGUGGAGCAUGUGGUUUAAUUCGAAGCUACGCGAAGAACCUUACCAGGUCUUGACAUACUAUGCAAAUCUAAGAGAUUAGACGUUCCCUUCGGGGACAUGGAUACAGGUGGUGCAUGGUUGUCGUCAGCUCGUGUCGUGAGAUGUUGGGUUAAGUCCCGCAACGAGCGCAACCCUUAUUAUCAGUUGCCAGCAUUAAGUUGGGCACUCUGGUGAGACUGCCGGUGACAAACCGGAGGAAGGUGGGGAUGACGUCAAAUCAUCAUGCCCCUUAUGACCUGGGCUACACACGUGCUACAAUGGAUGGUACAACGAGUUGCGAACUCGCGAGAGUAAGCUAAUCUCUUAAAGCCAUUCUCAGUUCGGAUUGUAGGCUGCAACUCGCCUACAUGAAGUCGGAAUCGCUAGUAAUCGCGGAUCAGCAUGCCGCGGUGAAUACGUUCCCGGGCCUUGUACACACCGCCCGUCACACCAUGAGAGUUUGUAACACCCAAAGUCGGUGGGGUAACCUUUUAGGAACCAGCCGCCUAAGGUGACAGAU
rnacentral:rRNA from 1 species